rfam:Penicillium decumbens strain IBT 11843 PENDEC_contig008, whole genome shotgun sequence.
GCCUUCAUGGUCUAGUGGUAAUGACGUCGGUCUCAUAUUGUGAGCAUCGCACCUUGACGGUCCUGAUAACAGGAUUGCCAUCCGAAGGUCGCCAGUUCGAUCCUGGCUGAGGGCA